GUUACUUGACUGGUACCUCCAGCCCACCAGCAGGCAAUGAUGGCAUCAGACUAGAGGAUCACCAGUAAAUCAUUGUAAACAGACAUUUUUCUUGUCUGUAUGAUCAAAGUUGGGUCCUGGACACAACCAUAUAAUAUCUUGCAGAGCGUGGAAAGAGAGAAAGUCCACUUUAAGCGAUGGAAAAUCAGCCCCAAUUCUGAAGGAACAACCAUGAACAGAUGAUUUAAGGAGAAUCAAUUCUUUGCUCUUUGCAGAAGGAGCCAACAGAGUGAGAUGAAGGGGACAACUUCAGAUACUCAGGCAGAAGCAUAAGUCCCCACCUGCUGACCUGCUGCCUGCUAUCUUAACACGAAUUCUUCAUCUGAAUGGAUGAGCUUUUCACAGAGUUCCAAACUAAGGAAUCCAGGAGUGGCCAAUCCAGAGAUUCAUUCCUUAUCUUUGACGAACAUCUGAACUCCUGGCUCAUCCUGUGGAAUUCAGGCCAUACAGGAGAUCAAGGUCAUUUGCUUUGGGUUAAAUGAAUGUUGCCAGGUGGAGGUUGCUAGAGGGAGAGUGCUAUGUGAAAGUGCUGUAUAAACUGCUUGCUUUUCACAAACAGUAGUGAUUCUUUAUCCUGUCCAGCCUGCCACAACUGGACCAUCCUGUAUGUAAGUCCCCUUAAUAAAUCCUGUGUCUCAUUCA
rnacentral:lncRNA from 1 species